UACGAAGGGGGCGAGCGUUGUUCGGAAUUACUGGGCGUAAAGGGCGCGCAGGCGGCCUUUCAAGUCAGAUGUGAAAGCCCCGGGCUCAACCUGGGAAUGGCAUUUGGGACUGGAAGGCUCGAGAUCGGGAGAGGAGGGUGGAAUUCCCAGUGUAGAGGUGAAAUGCGUAGAUAUUGGGAGGAACACCAGUGGCGAAGGCGGCUCACUGGACCGGUACUGACGCUGAUGCGCGAAAGCGUGGGGAGCAAACGGG
rnacentral:rRNA from 1 species